ensembl:lncRNA
ACCAAGUACAAGGUUAGAAUGACUCAUUUCAUCUUCUCUGAUGUCACGCUAGAAGCGCCCAGGCUCUGUCUCCAUCAUAAUUAAACAGGGCUUAAGGCAUCCGAUAGUGUCACAGAAGAAGAUGGAAGUGCCAUUCCUUUUUCUCAGUGCUUUGCGGCCAACGAAAGGGCACCAGGCCCCUGAACAUUCCAAGGUCAUUCCUGGCAUCCGUAUCUCUCAGAUGAACGAUUCACACAGGAGGCCCAGGAUGAUGAAGCAGACGUGUCGCAUUGCUCACCAUGGAGAAAGGGCUGCUGAUAUUUAUGGGGCACCAUCCGUAUGAACUUGAGCUGAGCCGUGCGCUCCCUGUGGACAGGACACGGAGAUACGAACACAAUGAGAGUGGGAGGAGAGGGGCUGUGAAGCAUAUCGCACAGAGACUCCACCAGUCUUUACUCAGUGGUCGUCGGUUGUCAGCGCUGAUCGAUUGCUUUGCACAUUUGCCAUAGUUCUGCAUUAGAGGCCUUGUUCACACAGCAGCAGAAUACGAAAGUCAGUCUUGUUUUUGAGUACUUAAUAUGGCUCACACACAGGUUUUCAUAAGGAGUUCUGACAAAUUUCAUGAGUUGUGUGCAGAGUGUUUCCAAAACAGAAUAAAAAAUAAAUAAAUG